AAGUCGUAACAAGGUAUCCGUAGGUGAACCUGCGGAUGGAUCAUUAACACAACUCAAACCACUGGUUUAGCAGAUCUCUCUCUUCAGAGGGUUUGCUAUUCCUUUUAAAACCCAAACUUUGCGAACACGUCAACGUUUCUUUUUCUUCUCGAAAGAGAAUGGGAGAGGCGUUCGUUUUUCCCUUCUUUAUCAAUUUUUCAACUUUUAACACCUACUUCCUUCCUAGCAAGGUUGAAAUAACUUGUACUGAGGGUGCUGUGUAAGCACAUUUAAAAACUAACACAAUAAUACAACUCUUAACAACGGAUAUCUCGGCUCUCGUAACGAUGAAAAACGCAGC
rnacentral:misc_RNA from 1 species